rnacentral:rRNA from 1 species
CGGAUGGAAGCAAUAAACCUUAGCGGCGGACGGGUGAGUAACGCGUGGGUAACCUGCCUCAUACAGGGGGAUAACAGUUAGAAAUGACUGCUAAAACCGCAUAAGCGCACAUUGUCGAGUGACAGAGUGUGAAAAACUCCGGUGGUAUGAGAUGGACCCGCGUCUGAUUAGCUAGUUGGUGAGGUAACGGCCCACCAAGGCGACGAUCAGUAGCCGGCCUGAGAGGGCGACCGGCCACAUUGGGACUGAGACACGGCCCAAACUCCUACGGGAGGCAGCAGUGGGGAAUAUUGCACAAUGGGGGAAACCCUGAUGCAGCGACGCCGCGUGAGUGAAGAAGUAUUUCGGUAUGUAAAGCUCUAUCAGCAGGGAAGAAGAAAGACGGUACCUGACUAAGAAGCCCCGGCUAACUACGUGCCAGCAGCCGCGGUAAUACGUAGGGGGCAAGCGUUAUCCGGAUUUACUGGGUGUAAAGGGAGCGUAGACGGCUGUGCAAGUCUGAAGUGAAAGCCCAGGGCUCAACCCUGGGACUGCUUUGGAAACUGUGGAGCUAGAGUGCUGGAGAGGUAAGUGGAAUUCCUAGUGUAGCGGUGAAAUGCGUAGAUAUUAGGAGGAACACCAGUGGCGAAGGCGGCUUACUGGACAGAAACUGACGUUGAGGCUCGAAAGCGUGGGGAGCAAACAGGAUUAGAUACCCUGGUAGUCCACGCGGUAAACGAUGAAUACUAGGUGUUGGAGAGCAAAGCUUUUC